UUAAACUAACAUAUUCAUCGUGCUGUAACGAGGUUUCUGUAAGGCAGAAUAAAUCAAUAUGUUGAUCAAUUAUAUAUCAUUUACUAACAGGGACUUAGAAGAGAGAGACCUAAUGUAGAACAGGUAGCUCGGUGGGAUAAGGAGCUGGGCUACAAAAUAUUGACCUGGGCUUGAUUCCAGGUCACUCUACCCGUCUGUAUCUUCGGACAACACGUGUAUUUUCCCUGUCCACCCAGCUUUUGAAAUAGGUGCCAGCCUUGGCUGUGACGUAACCUACAUUGGGCUGGCGUUCCCUCCAGAAUACUUAGAGAAGUAGUGGCACCAGUAGGCCACAGGGCCUGUUGUAAGUUCACCUGAAUGGACCUUCUGUUCAGACUGUCAAGGUAAAGUAUACCAUUAAGACUGACUGCACGUGGCCUGCCUCUUUAAUUGUUGGGGAUCCACAAAAGUCUGAAAUACUGAAAAAAAAAGAAUAACUUUGACGAUACAGUAUCUCAAUUUCACACACAAUCUUCCAGGUGGAUGACCUGUUUUCAGCCACGAUGACAAAGAUGCUUCACUACCUUAUGAAUGCAAUAAAAAUCUAAUGAAUUGUCAGAAAACGCACCUUCUCACUCCCAACUCCAAACAUUGAUGAGUAGGUUAGCCCAGUGGCUCAUUUACUCACGACGGCACACUGAACUAGCGUUCAAAAUGAGCGUUUGCAUUAAAAUGCGACAACUUGGAUGUGAGACUGGGUGACAGAAAACCAACCCCGAAAUGCGCACAGACAUUCCCCCACUUCAGCUUCACAAUCCACUGACGACAUUCAUAACAUUGAGGUUUAGCAGAGAAUUUAAACCCAGUGCACUUAGAUAAUGUCAUUAAAGUUGUUUCUUUUUGUUCCUGUUUGACCUAUAGUGCUGAAAUUGAUGCUUAUUAAAUCUUUUGUGUGUGAGGAGAGAUUAAAAAAAAAUUUAAAGGCACGGCCGUCAGUCACGAUCAAUAAAAAGUAGAAGAUGAUGCAAACUGUCCUUGGAUGCAGUUAUCUAAAUGUAAAUCUUUGUGGCGCAUCAGACCCGUGCACCACCGUGGCGGAUGAGAUUCGACGUGGCUGUAGCUGCAGCACGUUUGUUCAGCUGAUGCCAGAGGACGAGUUUAUAUUCCACCUGAUGAAAUAUACAUGAUCCCUUUAACAAGAGUGGCCAUAUGGCGAGCACUGUUGAUUUAUGAGACCUGCUGAUCCUCAACCAGCAACGGUUUUCAGCUCCAAGCCCCCAAAACAACCUCGAUGGACACUCGCAUUCAUUCAUUCAUUCGCUUACAUACAUUUGUACAGGUGUCAUCAAAUACACUGAAUUAUUAAAGCCUAAUGGACACAUUGGAGCUCGAGAAGUGUUCCGUGUACCAAUUCAAAAAGGAAAAAAAAGCAUUUGGGUUUUUGAGGGCGCUCUUAAUCAGUAUUGUUGUAGAUGAGAAUGUGAGUGGUGCAGAUUUUAGGAACAGAUUUUCCUCUGAUGUUUAGAAAAGAGCUUCUGCCAUCACAGGCAAAUGGAAGUUGUUUUUCCUGUGGUACAGUACAUUAAUGUUUCAUGUCUAAAGAUUGUCUAACAAGCUUAAAUUAAAACAUCUUUAUAACAC